CAUUAUACAUAACUCUACUAUAGUCUCCCCAUUUUUAAUCAUUGGGGCAAUGUAGUUGGGCUCCAUCCCCUUAGCUGUAAUCAAUUUCGUUGGAAUAGAUCUGCCCAAAUCUUUUUUUCCUUUUCCAUUUUCUUCUCUUCACUCUUUAGAUUCCCUUCUAUUAUCAACUUAUUCAUCGAAUUUCCAUCUUUUUGCCCUUCAGUAUUAAGUUGUUUAAGGAGAAUGAGGAUCUGAGUCCCAUUACCAACAGUCAAGGGUGUGACUUGAGUCACUCCACGAGUAUCCAAACUAGUUCUCACUAUUUUUGACCCCUUGAUGCUCCCACUAGCCAUCCUACCACUACU
rnacentral:lncRNA from 1 species